AAUAUUGUACAAUGGGGGCAACCCUGAUCCACCCAUGCCGCGUGUGUGAAGAAGGUCUUCGGAUGGUAAAGCACUUUAAGUUGGGAGGAAGGGUUGUAGGUUAAUACCCUGAAGUUUUGACGUUACCAACAGAAUAAGCACCGGCUAACUCUGUGCCAGCAGCCGCGGUAAUACAUAGGGUGCAAGCGUUAAUCGGAAUUACUGGGCGUAAAGGGCGCGUAGGUGGUUCAGUAAGAUGGGUGUGAAAUCCCCGGGCUUAACCUGGGAACUGCUUUCAUAACUGCUGAGCUAGAGUACGGUAGAGGGUAGUGGAAUUUCCUGUGUAGCGGUGAAAUGCGUAGAUAUAGGAAGGAACACCAGUGGCGAAGGCGACUACCUGGGCUAAUACUGACACUGAGGUGCGAAAGCGUGGGGGGCAAAC
rnacentral:rRNA from 1 species